CUGGGAAAAUGGCACGUAUGGUCACCCUAUUAUAUAAUGCAACACUGUCAAAGUUUAUUAAUGAAAGAUAUUAAAGUGUUCAUGGAAGUGUCAUUUAAAAAAGCGUUGUAAAGAGAAGGGUUUGAUAAGUAUGGUGUUUAAAAAAAAAAAAAAAAAUAAUAAUAAUAAUUUUGUUAAAUUAUGGAUAGUUAUCAAUGAAAGGAAUCAUGAAUUUUGUUACGCAUAAUAACAUUUGUUAGCUGUUGCCUUUUAAUGUCCUUGAUCAAUGCCUUCCAGCUCUGCCAAAUGAAGCUGGCUGCAGUGCUACCAGAAUGCAUGGCUAACUAAACUAACAAGCUUUGUGAUUUUGUUUUAUGCUCUCUAAAUGCAUCUCUAUCUCUGGAUGUCAGAGGUGUAGUAUGCAUAACGCAGAAUUAUCAUCAUCAAAACAGUUUGGGGAAACUGGUCUGGUAAUAUAAAGUAAAAGUGGUUUUGAAAAACAUCUUUUUAAAUUAAAUGCAGACAUUAAUACACUCAUUAAAAUAGUGCUCUUCCCCCAUCUAAACUAAACCACACCCCUCUCUCUAGGAAAAGCCCAGGAGAUAGGCAUGCUGGAGGGUCACAGACAGAGGAAGGAGCUCCCUGACUCCUCGUCCUCCUCCUCCUCCUCCUCACAUUCUGCAAGGCAGUCAGCUCAGAGAGAGGAGCAAAAUAAAACUACAGGCAAAGAGCAAACUGGAGUGAAGAGGAAGGGAAUGACGGUGAAGGGAGAGACCAAAAAGGCCAAAGAGUCCUAAAUUUGUCUCUGCAUCUCAACUCAUAGUACUGAUAGUCUGACAUACUGUAGCUGUGGAUAUUCUGUGUUGAGGUUGGAAAAACUCGCUAGCAAUUUUUGUUGUUGUUUAUUUUUUUUAGAUGCAAAGGUCAAAUUUAUUAUUUUAAGUUUUUUAUGCCGAUACUAAUCGAUAACUAAUAGUAAAUCAUCUGCUCUGAAGAACUGUGACUGAUACGUAAAUAAAAAAAAA